UACAGAGGUCCCAAGCGUUGUUCGGAUUCACUGGGCGUAAAGGGUGCGUAGGCGGUCGGGUAAGUCUGACGUGAAAUCCCGCAGCUCAACUGCGGAACUGCGUCGGAUACUAUUCGGCUUGAGGAAUGGAGGGGAGACUGGAAUUCUCGGUGUAGCAGUGAAAUGCGUAGAUAUCUGGAGGAACACCGGUGGCGAAGGCGGCUUGCUGGGCCAGUUCUGACGCUGAGGAGCGAAAGCGUGGGGAGCGAACAGG
rnacentral:rRNA from 1 species